UCAAGCGAGUAAGCGCAUACGGUGGAUGCCUUGGCAGUUGGAGGCGAUGAAGGACGUAGGAGCCUGCGAUAAGCUUCGGGGAGGUGGCAAACACCCUUUGAUCCGAAGAUUUCCGAAUGGGGAAACCCACCUGGCAUAAGCCAGGUAUCGUGCACUGAAUUCAUAGGUGUACGAAGCGAACCCGGAGAACUGAAACAUCUAAGUAACCGGAGGAAAAGAAAUCAACCGAGAUUCCCUUAGUAGCGGCGAGCGAAAGGGGAUUAGCCUGUAAGUGAUAGUAGAAGUGUUAGUGGAACAGUCUGGAAAGUCUGGCGAUACAGGGUGAUAGCCCCGUACACGAAAACUCUUUUAUGGUACUAAGCUUACGACAAGUAGGUCGGGACACGAGUUAUCUUGACUGAACAUGGGGGGACCAUCCUCCAAGGCUAAAUACUACCAACUGACCGAUAGUGAACUAGUACCGUGAGGGAAAGGCGAAAAGAACCCCGGAGAGGGGAGUGAAAUAGAACCUGAAACCGUAUGCGUACAAGCAGUAGGAGCAGACUUGUUCUGUGACUGCGUACCUUUUGUAUAAUGGGUCAGCGACUUAUUUUCAGUGGCAAGGUUAACCGUAUAGGGGAGCCGUAGGGAAACCGAGUCUUAAUAGGGCGUCUUAGUCGCUGGGAAUAGACCCGAAACCGGGCGAUCUAUCCAUGGCCAGGUUGAAGGUGCCGUAACAGGCACUGGAGGACCGAACCCACUAAUGUUGAAAAAUUAGGGGAUGAGCUGUGGAUCGGAGUGAAAGGCUAAUCAAGCCCGGAGAUAGCUGGUUCUCCUCGAAAGCUAUUUAGGUAGCGCCUCAUGUAUCACCACUGGGGGUAGAGCACUGUUUCGGCUAGGGGGUCAUACCGACUUACCAACCCGAUGCAAACUCCGAAUACCAGUGAGUGCAAUCAUGGGAGACACACGGCGGGUGCUAACGUUCGUCGUGGAGAGGGAAACAACCCAGACCGCCAGCUAAGGUCCCAAAUAUCAGUUAAGUGGGAAACGAUGUGGGAAGGCUCAGACAGCUAGGAGGUUGGCUUAGAAGCAGCCAUCCUUUAAAGAAAGCGUAAUAGCUCACUAGUCGAGUCGGCCUGCGCGGAAGAUUUAACGGGGCUAAACUGAUAACCGAAGCUGCGGAUGCAUAUUUAUCUGCAUGGUAGAGGAGCGUUCUGUAAGCCGUUGAAGGUGCACUGUAAGGUGUGCUGGAGGUAUCAGAAGUGCGAAUGCUGACGUGAGUAACGAUAAAGGGGGUGAAAAACUCCCUCGCCGGAAGAUCAAGGUUUCCUGUCCAACGCUAAUCGGGACAGGGUUAGUCGGUACCUAAGGCGAGGCCGAAAGGCGUAGUCGAUGGAAAACAGGUUAAUAUUCCUGUACCGCUAUAUACUGCGAUGGGGGGACGGAGAAGGCUAGGUGAUCAGGGCGAUGGUUGUCCCUGUACAAGCUUGUAGGGAGAUCUCUUAGGUAAAUCCGGGAGAUCAUUAUCCUGAGGAGUGAUGUCGAGCUCAAUUGCGAGCGAAGUCAUUGAUGCCAUGCUUCCAAGAAAAGCCUCUAAGCUUCAGGUAUAUAGAGACCGUACUCUAAACCGACACAGGUGAUCAGGUAGAGAAUACCAAGGCGCUUGAGAGAACUAUGGUGAAGGAACUAGGCAAAAUGGUGCCGUAACUUCGGGAGAAGGCACGCCGAUUUUGGUGAUGGGAUUUACUCCCUAAGCCGAGGUUGGCCGCAGAGACCAGGCCCCUGCGACUGUUUAUCUAAAACACAGCACUCUGCAAACUCGUAAGAGGAAGUAUAGGGUGUGACGCCUGCCCGGUGCCGGAAGGUUAAUUGAUGGGGUUAGCUUCGGCGAAGCUCUUGAUCGAAGCCCCGGUAAACGGCGGCCGUAACUAUAACGGUCCUAAGGUAGCGAAAUUCCUUGUCGGGUAAGUUCCGACCUGCACGAAUGGCGUAACGAUGGGGGCGCUGUCUCCACCAUAGACUCAGUGAAAUCGAAAUCGCGGUGAAGAUGCC
rnacentral:rRNA from 1 species